CCCGUGCUCCUGUCUACUUUUAUGAGUUCCAACAUCAAUCCAGCUUCUUCAAGGACUUCAGGCCACCCCACGUGAAGGCAGACCACGGUGAUGAAGUUUUCCUUGUCUUUGGCCACCAAUUCGGUAACAUAAAACUUCCCCACACAGAGGAGGAGGAGCUACUAAGCAGAAAGAUAAUGAAGUACUGGGCCAACUUUGCACGACAUGGAAACCCCAACAGUGAGGGUCUACCCUACUGGCCUGUGAUGGACCAUGAUGAGCAGUAUCUGCAGCUGGACACUCAGCCUGCUGUGGGUCGAGCCCUGAAGGCCAGAAGGCUGCAGUUCUGGACCAAGACUCUGCCCAAGAAGAUCCAGGAGCUAAAGGGGACUCAGGAGAGGCACAGAGAGUUGUAGUGCCAUGUGUGAA